GUCAAUGCAGAGGCAAAGAGGCGUCUGUCUGAUCCUGCAACUCUGGCCUUGUAUGAACAGCAAAGUAAACUGGAGGAAAACAUGAGUCUGCUGGAGGAGUUAGGUGCCAUUGAGGCAGAGCUGCGUGAAUCUCUACGUCUGGACAUGGAGCGAGAGCAGGAGGAUGAGUUUCUUCGUCAACAGGAGAACCAGCUGCUGUGGCAAGGCCUCAGCUAUCUCAGCCUAAACCAAAGAGUGGCAAAGCCAUGGGUCAGCAGCUACUUUCGAAAGUUCCCCAUGCACAUCUACUGUCUUCCAGUUCAAGCUGCCA